rnacentral:rRNA from 1 species
GACACGGGAUGCUUACGCCGCGGUGAGUAGGAGGGUCGCAGCGGCGAGCGUUGAAGGUGCCGGGCGCGAGCCCGCCUGGAGCCGCCGCUGGUGCAGAUCUUGGUGGUAGUAGCAAAUACUCAAGUGAGAACCUUGAGGACUGAGGUGGAGAAGGGUUCCAUGUGAACAGCAGUUGAACAUGGGUCAGUCGGUCCUAAGGGAUAGGAGAAAUCCGUUCCGAAGCGGGUGUUUUUUGACGUUGUGCCCGCCGGUCGACCGAAAGGGAAUCGGGUUAAUAUUCCCGAACCCGGACGCGGAGAUCGGCCUCUCGGGGCCAAGUGCGGCGACGCAACCGAACUCGGAGAUGUCGACGGGAGUCCCGGGAAGAGUUGUCUUUUCUUUGUAAGGGCUCGGCUCCCUGGAAUCGGCUCGUCCGGAGAUAGGGAUGCUGUUCCCGUAAAGCACCGCGGCUCUUGCGGUGUCCGGAGCGCUCCCGUCGGCCCUUGAAAAUCCGAGGGAG